rnacentral:misc_RNA from 1 species
GAUGAGAACGUAGUGAAAUGCGAUAAGUAAUGUGAAUUGCAGAAUUCAGUGAAUCAUCGAAUCUUUGAACGCACAUUGCGCCCUCUGGUAUUCCGGGGGGCAUGCCUGUUCGAGCGUCAUUAUAACCACUCAAGCUCUCGCUUGGUAUUGGGGUUCGCGGUUCCGCGGCCCCUAAAAUCAGUGGCGGUGCCUGUCGGCUCUACGCGUAGUAAUACUCCUCGCGAUUGAGUCCGGUAGGUCUACUUGCCAGCAACCCCCAAUUUUUACAGGUUGACCUCGGAUCAGGUAGGGAUACCCGCUGAACUUAAGCAUAUCAAUAAGCGGAGGA